UUAAGGAAUAUGUGUAUGUGGUGAAAAGGUUUGUUUUUCUUAGUGUGAGGAACUUGUAAACCUUGGCUUCCUGUGAAGUGACUGUACUAAGGUGUGUGUAGUCUUUCCAAAUCUAAGUACUUUAGAGAAAUCUUUCUAUUACCAUUAUUUUAGUUUGGAAGCCCUAUAUAAAACAUUAUUCAGCAGUGUCAAGGUGAGGUAGCUAUUCCUCUUCUAGGGGAAACUGAGGAAAACACAGGAGUGACUUUUGGUCCUGUGAGCAAAGGGAACAUCAUUUCCUUCUUCAGAAGGAUUAGUGGGAGAAGCUGUGUGCUGCAUCUCCAGCAAGAGCCCUCAGAGUGGGGAAUAUACUCCAGUUAAGAACUGAUGUUUAUUUUUUUGUACUAAACUCAUUUAGCACUAAGUCUUCAGAUAAACAUCAUGAGGUGAAAUUUCAACUGCAAGAGGAAUGAGGUAAAGUUCUGCUAGCGAGGGAAAGCGAGGGUGCAGGCUGUGCUGCUGUUGUCCUCUCCCUUAUGCUUUUUGUUUUCCUGGGGGAAUGAGUGGUAAAAGUACUGCAAAAACAGUUGGAAUAAAUACCUUUGAAGGAUAGUGCUGAGGACAGAAAGGUUGUGUGUGUGUUGGGGUAAGUGUGACAGGUGUGGAGGAGACUUGGCUGCAAUUACCUUUGAGUAAGUCCUGUUUUAACUGUGCUCAGGUGGUGGGGUAACUGGGUUGGUAGGCUGCCUUCCUGACUGUGGACAACAAUACUUUUAUUUUCUUUCCUUACUCUAGCAUUGAAAUCAAGUGCUUUGGUUUUCUAACUGUCUUUGUUUUUCUUUUUUCGUGUAGUAUAAAGAUAGGUUUACGAAUGGGAAGCGUCUUCUGUCUUGAAAUAAGAUGCAUUUUUUUUUGUCCCAAUAGGUAGAUGAUUCAGCUACUGUAAUGUUUUCCCUUCCUUCCAAGAAUGAAGGACAAAGUUGGCAUGCUGAGGCAUCUUUUUGUCUUUUCCAUUCCUACUGAGGAAAACUGAGUUUCUUGCCUUAGAAAUUGCCCCUCUGGUCUUCCCAAGCAUAGGUCUUCUUUUACCUUCUGUUGGGUAGUGUUUGAACUCACUGUUAAGUUAACAUACUAUCUCAGCUUCAUUUGGAGGAGACCUAUCUCACCACUACUCUGUUCUAUGGGCUCUUUUUCAGCUCUGCUAACAGACAAAUGCUGGGUCAAAUUCUGAUGAAAAAUAGCAUGAGGUAUAUUUACUCAUGCCCGUAGUCCCCCCAUCUUCUGCAUGAGGGCUAUAGAAAGGUGGCAAGGGAAGGGAACAGCCAAUAAUCUUAGUAGCAAAAUGAGUUCAAGUGAACUCAUUCAGCCAUUUUAGAAUGUAGAAUAUAUGUGAUUUUUAGAGAAUGAGCAAUUUGGCAUGUGUGCUUUUGUAAGAGAUUGCUCAGAGUGAUUUUCUUGCUUUAGGAAGAUGGUCCUUGCAGACCUUUGAGGGAUGACUAACACUAAGGAGUGGGUGGUUUCACCCUCAAAUAGGGUGAGGCAACCAGCCAGUGUAUGACUUCCAAAGACAACAUAUGCUCUCCUACCUGUGUAUCUUAUGGUGUUUACUAUAUUUUUAUCCAGUAUCAUGCAUUUGUUAUAUUUUCAGUUAAAUUUAAUUUGAAAGAUGCCAGGGGUAUAAUACGGAGAUGCUUAUUCAGAUUCACAUUGGCAAUACUACUAUUGUACUGAAAUACGUUUUGUAAUGUGACCAUUUAUUUGUGACUUAUUUUGCAACAGCUAUACUAGCUUAUUUCCUAUGAAGUCCAGGAAAAAGGGCAAGAAUUACUUUAAAACAAAAGGAGGUUAUAUCUUCUACUUAAGGAUCAUAGUUGAUCAAGGAAAAGCUCAGAAAUGGAAAAACAAGCUGUAAACAUAAGGAAUUCUCUAAAUGAACUGAAUUGUGCUUUUUCUUCUGUGUGAAACUGAGAAAAAAUGCAAAUGCGGACCAGCAGAAGCAUCAAUUAAAUCUUUUUCCAGAACAUUUGAUUUUUAAUUGGUGUUUUUUUUUUUUUUGUGUGUAAUGAUUUUUGUAUUUAAAAAAAAAAUCAUUUUGAAAUAGACAUUUAGGAUGGUUCGUCACUUCUCAUGUGCAAGAUGUGAUAUAUCUUCCCCUCUGCCAAAAAAAAAAGUCGGAGUAGCUGUAACCAUCAGGAAGACCAUCCUCCUCUCCUUCCAGUCUGUUGGGUGCUGAGCUCUGGCCAAGAAGAGAACCAUAGCAAAGGUAUCUGAUUUUGGAGGAAUGGUUUCUUUGCCUACUGGAAGAAUGCAGUGAAACUGCCAAUAUUUCUAGCUGGAGUUUUAAGUUUAAUAUUCACCUCUAGUGUUACUAAUUCUUACUAAAUAGUACCUCAAAGUAGAAUAAAGAUGUAUGGAAGUGCAAGAACAAUCAGCAACUUAGAAGGAAGUCCCUCCAGGUCUCCCCGUUUGCCAAGAUCUCCUCGCCUAGGCCACAGGCGAACAAGUAGCGGAGGAGGAGGAGGAACAGGUAAGACGUUAUCAAUGGAGAACAUCCAGUCCCUUAAUGCAGCCUAUGCAACAUCUGGACCAAUGUAUCUGAGUGACCAUGAAGGUGUAGCUUCUACUACUUUCCCAAAGGGCACGAUGACUCUUGGAAGGGCUACAAAUCGAGCUGUGUAUGGUGGUCGAGUCACAGCUAUGGGGAGCAGUCCUAAUAUUGCUUCAGCGGGACUGUCCCACACAGAUGUCCUUUCUUACACUGAUCAGCAUGGAGGACUGACCACAUCUUCACACCAUCAUCACCAUCAGGUUCCUUCUAUGCUGAGGCAGGUUAGAGACAGUACCAUGUUAGACCUGCAGGCUCAGCUUAAGGAUCUACAGAGGGAGAAUGAUCUUCUCAGAAAAGAACUAGACAUCAAAGACAGCAAGCUGGGAUCCUCCAUGAAUAGCAUCAAAACUUUCUGGAGUCCUGAAUUAAAGAAAGAAAGAGUAUUGAGAAAGGAAGAAGCAGCCAGAAUGUCAGUUCUUAAAGAGCAAAUGAGAGUUUCCCAUGAAGAAAAUCAGUUUUUGGAUGCCAGGAGAACAAAGCAUCUGCAAAUGACAAUCCAGGCACUUCAAGAUGAGCUUAGAACCCAGAGAGACCUUAAUCAUCUUCUGCAGCAAGAAAGUGGAAACCGAGGGGCUGAGCAUUUUACCAUUGAGCUCACAGAGGAGAAUUUUCGAAGACUUCAAGCAGAACAUGACAGACAAGCUAAAGAGCUUUUCCUAUUAAGAAAAACUCUAGAAGAAAUGGAGCUUAGGAUUGAAACACAAAAGCAAACACUAAAUGCUAGAGAUGAAUCAAUAAAAAAGCUUCUGGAAAUGUUGCAAAGUAAAGGUUUGCCAUCUAAAGGAAUGGAAGAUGACAAUGAGAGAACUCGAAGGAUUGCAGAAGCUGAAUCUCAGGUUAAUCAUUUGGAAGUGAUAUUAGACCAAAAGGAGAAGGAAAACAUACAUCUUAGAGAGGAGUUACAUAGAAGAACCCAACUUCAGCCUGAGCCAGCAAAGACAAAGGCUCUUCAAACAGUUAUUGAAAUGAAGGAUACAAAAAUAGCUUCACUUGAGCGCAAUAUAAGAGAUCUUGAAGAUGAAAUACAGAUGUUAAAGACAAAUGGAGUUCUGAAUACAGAAGACCGAGAAGAAGAAAUAAAACAAAUAGAAGUUUACAAGAGUCACUCAAAGUUCAUGAAAAAUAAGAUUGACCAACUGAAGCAAGAACUCUCAAAAAAAGAAUCGGAACUUCUUGCCUUACAAACUAAGCUUGAAACCCUUAGCAAUCAGAAUUCAGAUUGCAAGCAACACAUUGAAGUGCUUAAAGAGUCACUUACUGCCAAAGAACAGAGAGCUGCCAUACUUCAGACAGAGGUUGAUGCCUUGCGGUUACGAUUGGAAGAAAAAGAAACGUUUCUUAAUAAGAAAACAAAACAACUUCAAGACCUCACAGAAGAGAAAGGAACCCUAGCUGGAGAGAUUCGAGAUAUGAAAGACAUGUUAGAAGUAAAAGAAAGGAAAAUUAAUGUCCUUCAAAAAAAGAUUGAAAAUCUACAGGAGCAACUUAGGGACAAAGACAAACAACUAACUAAUCUAAAAGACAGAGUGAAGUCAUUGCAGACGGAUUCUAGUAACACAGACACAGCACUAGCAACCUUAGAAGAAGCACUAUCAGAAAAGGAAAGAAUAAUAGAGCGCUUGAAGGAGCAAAGGGAGCGAGAUGACAGAGAAAGACUUGAAGAAAUCGAAUCUUAUAAAAAAGAAAACAAAGACCUGAAGGAGAAAGUUAAUGCUUUACAAGCUGAGCUGACAGAAAAAGAGUCUAGUUUAAUCGAUCUCAAAGAACAUGCAUCUUCAUUGGCAUCAGCAGGGCUGAAAAGAGACUCCAAACUUAAGUCUUUAGAAAUAGCCAUAGAACAAAAGAAAGAAGAGUGUAGUAAGUUGGAAGCACAGUUGAAAAAGCAAGCUGAACAGUUGUUCAAUCAGAUGUACAAUCCAAUGCCAAUUAGGAAUAAUGGGAAGCAAGGGGCUCAUGAGGCUGAAGAGGAGGCACGGAUGAACCCGGAAUUUGCAGACAGAAUGAAACAGCUUGACAAAGAGGCAUCAUACUAUAGAGAAGAAUGUGGCAAAGCGCAGGCCGAGGUUGACAGACUUCUAGAAAUACUCAAGGAAGUAGAGAAUGAGAAGAAUGACAAAGAUAAGAAAAUUGCUGAGUUAGAAAGCUUGACUUCCAGACAUAUGAAGGACCAAAACAAGAAGGUUGCUAAUCUGAAGCACAAUCAACAAAUGGAGAAAAAAAAGAAUGCACAGCUGCUGGAAGAAGUUCGUAGACGAGAGGACAAUAUGACAGACAACUCCCAACAUUUACAGGUAGAAGAACUGAUGAAUGCAUUGGAAAAGACUAGACAAGAAUUAGAUUCUACCAAAGCUCGUCUUGCCUCAACACAGCAGUCUUUGGCUGAGAAGGAAGCACAUCUGGCUAACCUAAGAAUAGAGCGGAGAAAACAGCUUGAAGAAAUUCUAGAAAUGAAACAGGAAGCCCUGCUUGCUGCAAUUAGUGAAAAAGAUGCAAAUAUUGCCUUGCUUGAACUGUCCGCUUCAAAGAAAAAGAAGACUCAAGAGGAAGUAAUGGCUCUUAAAAGAGAGAAGGACAGAUUAGUACAUCAGUUAAAACAGCAGACACAAAACAGAAUGAAACUGAUGGCAGAUAACUAUGAUGACGACCAUCACCACUACCACCACCAUCACCACCACCACCAUCACCGAUCGCCUGGGAGGCCACAACACUCCAACCACAGACCUUCUCCAGAUCAGAUGAUCCAGUCACUGUUGGAGGCACAUAGCCACGGCAAAAUCUCAUGCUGUACAUUGAUCACCUGUCCAACCUUUGCCUAGAGUGUGAUUCCCAGUUCCUUCAAGAGAUCCAUCUUUACCUGUCUAUAAAGAAGAGGAGGAGAGAGACAUCUGGGACAUUCAAGUAUCAAAGUUUAACACCAGAGCAGUUGUCAGAGGAACUAGUGAAACAGGAAGAAAAAACGUAUCACUGGAAUGUAACGAUGAUAAUCUAUUGCAUUGGAUCUCCAAACAUGACCAUGAUAUCCUGGAGAAGAUCACAGAUGCGUAAAAUGAAUGCUAAGGUUGAUAUCUAAUGAAAUGAUGCAUUAAUUGGCAUCUUCUCCAUUAUUUCUUGUAGUCUACUAGGAAAUUAGAUACUUUGAAAAAAAAUGAAGGAGACUCAAGCAGAAAUUGCAAGAGCUUUAUUUAUAUCUUCAAUGGGUCUUGCAAGUUAUUGCUUUCACAAACAAACCUUCUGUUCAGAAUACUAUUGUUUAAUGAAGUUCAUUUAAACAGGUUAUUUAACUAAUUAUUGGUAAAUUGAUAUUGAUUUUAAUAAGUAAUUCAGAUUCGUUUAGGUAUGGUAUCUGCAUUUGCUGAUUUUUACCUAGUCUAUUCUAAAACUUCUAUUGCACUAGAUUAUCAAAGAGGUAUUAGUAAAAUGUGAUAUAAGGGUGUUGGCAUUAAUCUUACCCCCAGUUAGAUGUGGGCUUUCUCAAAAAAUAAAACCCAAGCCUUUACCCUCCUCUGUUUUCUCAUAUCUACUGAUAAAAUAAUUAUAAUCAAAAAAUAAAACCCAAACCACAAACCACCAACAACAUUAAAAAAAUACACAUUGAUAGUAUAACUGGUAUUAAGCUCUGGGCCAGGUUGGAAAUGAAAUCAAUUUUUGGUACUAAUAACUGAUGGCAAAGAUUAGCUUUAUGGAAAUAUGGUGUGUGUCUCUGACAAUGCAUAGGACAUCUAAUUUGAUCAUAAAUAUAUGAUUAUAAACAAGAUGUAUCUAUUCCUGGAUAGUAAAAGCUUGAGACACAUAUAAAUACAUAUGUAUGUGUAUGUACAGACAUAUACACAAGGAUGUGUCAACCUUUUACCAUCCAAAUGCAUAUAGAUCUUCAACAAUAAAAGCUGGGACUCAAAAAAUAAAAAUGAAAAUGAAAAUAAAAAUAAAAAUAAAAAUUUAAAAAUAAAAAUUGCUGUGAAUACAGUAUAUGCACUAGGUCUCCUGUAAAUGAGGAACUGUUUGUUAUCAUUUUCUGCAUUGAAAAACAGACUCCAACAUGGAUCCCAAUGACUCUUAGAUGUUACAGAAGAAAAUACCAAUGAUCAAAUAGCACUUAGAGGCUGUUUGUAUCAACAAAAUAUAUCUAGUAUAAUAAUUCUCAAGCACAUGCACAUGAAAAAAUAAAAAUACGAAGUCAUUACAUUCAGUGAGAAAUUAUUAACUGCUAGUUAAAUCUCUACCACUUCUCAAGGAGAGGAUACUUAUGACUCCAUCUGGCAAAUGUGCAAAUGCUUGGUUGUUUUAUUGAGGCAUCUUUUUGUCCAUGGA